rnacentral:rRNA from 1 species
GGGUUGUGAGGUUAAGCGACUAAGCGUACACGGUGGAUGCCCUGGCAGUCAGAGGCGAUGAAGGACGUGCUAAUCUGCGAUAAGCGUCGGUAAGGUGAUAUGAACCGUUAUAACCGGCGAUUUCCGAAUGGGGAAACCCAGUGUGAUUCGUCACACUAUCAUUAACUGAAUCCAUAGGUUAAUGAGGCGAACCGGGGGAACUGAAACAUCUAAGUACCCCGAGGAAAAGAAAUCAACCGAGAUUCCCCCAGUAGCGGCGAGCGAACGGGGAGCAGCCCAGAGCCUGAAUCAGUGUGUGUGUUAGUGGAAGCGUCUGGAAAGGCGCGCGAUACAGGGUGACAGCCCCGUACACAAAAAUGCACAUGCUGUGAGCUCGAUGAGUAGGGCGGGACACGUGGUAUCCUGUCUGAAUAUGGGGGGACCAUCCUCCAAGGCUAAAUACUCCUGACUGACCGAUAGUGAACCAGUACCGUGAGGGAAAGGCGAAAAGAACCCCGGCGAGGGGAGUGAAAAAGAACCUGAAACCGUGUACGUACAAGCAGUGGGAGCACAGAGCAAUCUGUGUGACUGCGUACCUUUUGUAUAAUGGGUCAGCGACUUAUAUUCUGUAGCAAGGUUAACCGAAUAGGGGAGCCGAAGGGAAACCGAGUCUUAACUGGGCGUUAAGUUGCAGGGUAUAGACCCGAAACCCGGUGAUCUAGCCAUGGGCAGGUUGAAGGUUGGGUAACACUAACUGGAGGACCGAACCGACUAAUGUUGAAAAAUUAGCGGAUGACUUGUGGCUGGGGGUGAAAGGCCAAUCAAACCGGGAGAUAGCUGGUUCUCCCCGAAAGCUAUUUAGGUAGCGCCUCGUGAAUUCAUCUCCGGGGGUAGAGCACUGUUUCGGCAAGGGGGUCAUCCCGACUUACCAACCCGAUGCAAACUGCGAAUACCGGAGAAUGUUAUCACGGGAGACACACGGCGGGUGCUAACGUCCGUCGUGAAGAGGGAAACAACCCAGACCGCCAGCUAAGGUCCCAAAGUCAUGGUUAAGUGGGAAACGAUGUGGGAAGGCCCAGACAGCCAGGAUGUUGGCUUAGAAGCAGCCAUCAUUUAAAGAAAGCGUAAUAGCUCACUGGUCGAGUCGGCCUGCGCGGAAGAUGUAACGGGGCUAAACCAUGCACCGAAGCUGCGGCAGCGACGCUGAUGCGUUGUUGGGUAGGGGAGCGUUCUGUAAGCCUGCGAAGGUGUGCUGUGAGGCAUGCUGGAGGUAUCAGAAGUGCGAAUGCUGACAUAAGUAACGAUAAAGCGGGUGAAAAGCCCGCUCGCCGGAAGACCAAGGGUUCCUGUCCAACGUUAAUCGGGGCAGGGUGAGUCGACCCCUAAGGCGAGGCCGAAAGGCGUAGUCGAUGGGAAACAGGUUAAUAUUCCUGUACUUGGUGUUACUGCGAAGGGGGGACGGAGAAGGCUAUGUUGGCCGGGCGACGGUUGUCCCGGUUUAAGCGUGUAGGCUGGUUUUCCAGGCAAAUCCGGAAAACUAAGGCUGAGGCGUGAUGACGAGGCACUACGGUGCUGAAGCAACAAAUGCCCUGCUUCCAGGAAAAGCCUCUAAGCAUCAGGUAACAUCAAAUCGUACCCCAAACCGACACAGGUGGUCAGGUAGAGAAUACCAAGGCGCUUGAGAGAACUCGGGUGAAGGAACUAGGCAAAAUGGUGCCGUAACUUCGGGAGAAGGCACGCUGAUAUGUAGGUGAAGUCCCUCGCGGAUGGAGCUGAAAUCAGUCGAAGAUACCAGCUGGCUGCAACUGUUUAUUAAAAACACAGCACUGUGCAAACACGAAAGUGGACGUAUACGGUGUGACGCCUGCCCGGUGCCGGAAGGUUAAUUGAUGGGGUCAGCGCAAGCGAAGCUCUUGAUCGAAGCCCCGGUAAACGGCGGCCGUAACUAUAACGGUCCUAAGGUAGCGAAAUUCCUUGUCGGGUAAGUUCCGACCUGCACGAAUGGCGUAAUGAUGGCCAGGCUGUCUCCACCCGAGACUCAGUGAAAUUGAACUCGCUGUGAAGAUGCAGUGUACCCGCGGCAAGACGGAAAGACCCCGUGAACCUUUACUAUAGCUUGACACUGAACAUUGAGCCUUGAUGUGUAGGAUAGGUGGGAGGCUUUGAAGUGUGGACGCCAGUCUGCAUGGAGCCGACCUUGAAAUACCACCCUUUAAUGUUUGAUGUUCUAACGUGGACCCGUGAUCCGGGUUGCGGACAGUGUCUGGUGGGUAGUUUGACUGGGGCGGUCUCCUCCUAAAGAGUAACGGAGGAGCACGAAGGUUGGCUAAUCCUGGUCGGACAUCAGGAGGUUAGUGCAAUGGCAUAAGCCAGCUUGACUGCGAGCGUGACGGCGCGAGCAGGUGCGAAAGCAGGUCAUAGUGAUCCGGUGGUUCUGAAUGGAAGGGCCAUCGCUCAACGGAUAAAAGGUACUCCGGGGAUAACAGGCUGAUACCGCCCAAGAGUUCAUAUCGACGGCGGUGUUUGGCACCUCGAUGUCGGCUCAUCACAUCCUGGGGCUGAAGUAGGUCCCAAGGGUAUGGCUGUUCGCCAUUUAAAGUGGUACGCGAGCUGGGUUUAGAACGUCGUGAGACAGUUCGGUCCCUAUCUGCCGUGGGCGCUGGAGAACUGAGGGGGGCUGCUCCUAGUACGAGAGGACCGGAGUGGACGCAUCACUGGUGUUCGGGUUGUCAUGCCAAUGGCACUGCCCGGUAGCUAAAUGCGGAAGAGAUAAGUGCUGAAAGCAUCUAAGCACGAAACUUGCCCCGAGAUGAGUUCUCCCUGAC